AAACGGAGGUGUGGAAAGCAAACUGCUCAAGGUCACAGAAUUGGUGCAGAUGGAGCUUGGAUCCUGAGCUCAGGAAGCUUUACCACAGAGCCCACAGCAGUCCCCACAGAGGGACCCCCUCCCAUGGUCCUGCCAAGGAAGCUUUGAGAACAGGAGCCAUCCCUUAUUAAACGCUGCAAUUCCAGCAUCUAGCCCAGUCCCUGGCACAGGGCAGAUGCUAAAAGAAAAUAGUGACAUUUUGCCAUUUAAUGGACAAGCCAGAGGGCUUUGCAGAAGAGACAGGAAUGUUCCUCAGCAUUCUCUUUGGCCUGAGAAUGUCUUUACAAGGCUUAUCUGUUAAAAAAAAAAAAAA